rnacentral:rRNA from 1 species
CGAACGGUGAACACGGAGCUUGCUCUGUGGGAUCAGUGGCGAACGGGUGAGUAACACGUGAGCAACCUGCCCCUGACUCUGGGAUAAGCGCUGGAAASGGCGUCUAAUASUGGAUASGAGUAGCGGCCGCAUGGUCAGUUACUGGAAAGAUUUUUUGGUUGGGGAUGGGCUCGCGGCCUAUCAGCUUGUUGGUGAGGUAAUGGCUCACCAAGGCGUCGACGGGUAGCCGGCCUGAGAGGGUGACCGGCCACACUGGGACUGASACACGGCCCARACUCCUACGGGAGGCAGCRGUGGGGAAUAUUGCACAAKGGGCGGAAGCCUGAUGCAKCARCGCCGCGUGAGGGAUGACGGCCUUCGGGUUGUAAACCUCUUUUAGCAGGGAAGAAGCGAAAGUGACGGUACCUGCRKAAAAAGCGCCGGCUAAYUACKUGCCAKCAGCCGCGGUAAUACGUAKGGCGCARGCGUUAUCCGGAAUUAUUGGGCGUAAAGAGCUCGUAGGCGGUUUGUCGCGUCUGCUGUGAAAUCCCGAGGCUCARCCUSGGGCCUGCAGUGGGUACGGGCAGACUASAGUGCGGUAGGGGAGAUUGGAAUUCCUGGUGUAG